rnacentral:rRNA from 1 species
GACGAACGCUGGCGGCACGCCUAACACAUGCAAGUCGAACGGUGAAGAGGGAGCUUGCUCUCUCGGAUCAGUGGCGGACGGGUGAGUAACACGUGAGCAACCUGCCUUUCAGAGGGGGACAACAGUUGGAAACGACUGCUAAUACCGCAUAAAGUAACGGAGCCGCAUGACUCUGUUACCAAAGGAGCAAUCCGCUGAAAGAUGGGCUCGCGUCUGAUUAGAUAGUUGGUGAGGUAACGGCUCACCAAGUCGACGAUCAGUAGCCGGACUGAGAGGUUGAACGGCCACAUUGGGACUGAGACACGGCCCAGACUCCUACGGGAGGCAGCAGUGGGGGAUAUUGGACAAUGGGGGAAACCCUGAUCCAGCGAUGCCGCGUGAGGGAAGAAGGUUUUCGGAUUGUAAACCUCUGUGGAGGGGGACGAUAAUGACGGUACCCCUUUAGGAAGCCACGGCUAACUACGUGCCAGCAGCCGCGGUAAUACGUAGGUGGCGAGCGUUGUC